rnacentral:rRNA from 1 species
GAUGAACGCUGGCGGCGUGCCUAAUACAUGCAAGUCGAGCGAACAGAUGAGGAGCUUGCUCCUCUGACGUUAGCGGCGGACGGGUGAGUAACACGUGGAUAACCUACCUAUAAGACUGGGAUAACUUCGGGAAGCCGGAGCUAAUACCGGAUAAUAUAUUGAACCGCAUGGUUCAAUAGUGAAAGACGGUUUUGCUGUCACUUAUAGAUGGAUCCGCGCCGCAUUAGCUAGUUGGUAAGGUAACGGCUUACCAAGGCAACGAUGCGUAGCCGACCUGAGAGGGUGAUCGGCCACACUGGAACUGAGACACGGUCCAGACUCCUACGGGAGGCAGCAGUAGGGAAUCUUCCGCAAUGGGCGAAAGCCUGACGGAGCAACGCCGCGUGAGUGAUGAAGGUCUUCGGAUCGUAAAACUCUGUUAUUAGGGAAGAACAAAUGUGUAAGUAACUAUGCACGUCUUGACGGUACCUAAUCAGAAAGCCACGGCUAACUACGUG